ensembl:lincRNA 1300002E11Rik RIKEN cDNA 1300002E11 gene
GGGUUGCGCUGGGGUGGGUGUCCAGCGCUGUAGGAGGAACGCGGUGGGAGGAAGGCUUGCGGGCGUGCGGACUCGGCUUCGGGCCGAGCGCUUUGAAGAAUUUUGCAGAACCCUGCUACCUACAGACUCUGCCAUGGACGUCAUGUAAAGAAACCCCGGAUGUAGUAACGGACAAAACAUGAGUCAGUUUGUGUUGUGGCAUUCAGAUCUGAACACACUGGGAGAGAAGUGAUUCUGAAUGGAGAAGACGUAGGACCGGUCAGUGGUAGGAUGGACUGUGCUUGGAAGACAGGCACCUGGAGCUCUCAGUUUGGACUAGGCUGGCUGGCAGUAAGCCCCCAGGAUCCUCCUGUUCUCACACUAGAGGCAUCAAACACCAAGAUUGUGAAGACCAUGGCCCAUCCUUAUGCAUUCAAGAGUUGAAUGUGGAUGACUUGGAGCUGAAAAACCCCUUCAGAAGCUUCAUGUGUCACGUGCAUUGAAGCUCUGCAUUAAACCCGCUCGCACAAGUAAAUGCUCAAAGGGACUGAAGGCCAUUAGUACAGUUUUUAUGUCUCUUUCUUUUACUUCAGUUUCUUUAGCCAUCAGGGUCCUUAAUGUUUCUUGUCUUUACUAUAGUAAAGACUCAGAGAAAGGCUACUUUCCAUGAAGUAGUAUGUACUUUCCAUGAAGUAGUAUGUACUUUCCAUGAAGUAGUAUGUACUUUCCAUGAAGUAGUAUGUACUUUCCAUGAAGUAGUAUGUUCUGUGGCCACACGCCUUUAUUACUGGAGAUGGGCAUUUUCACUUGAGUGUUUUGUUACAGCCUAUUAAAAAUUUGAUUCAGUAAUGUGAAAGUGAGGAUAAAAUAUCAAAAAAUUACAAUAUUAGAGAAGUAUGUGCUUAACAUGUGUAAAGCCCCAGGUCCAGUCUGCUGCAUUGUGUGGGGUGGUUAGGGGCUGUGUGGAUGUGCAAGGCCCAGGGUCCAGUUUGCUGCAUUGUGUGGGGUGGCUAGGGGCUGUGUGAUGUGGUAGAAGUGACUUAAGCUGAGACCUUGGGUAAGGAGCCCUAAGAGUUAGUGGCUCUCAGCCCACCACUGCCUCUUACAGCUAUGUGACUGGGAAAGGUCUUCUCUCUGUGUCUUCAUUGGGCUGGCCAGCAGCUGUUUAAAUGAAAGAAUUUAGGGGUAUUCACCGUGUGUCUGCAUAGUAAGAGUAACAUUGUUUCCAUUUUUAUAUGUAACAAUGUGUGCAGUUGGUAAUUAAGUCAAAGUUUUCUUUUUCUUGUGUGUUGCUGUCACAAUUUUCAAAGUAUAAUUUUAGCUCUAGUGCCUUUCUACACAUUUUAAUCCUUGGAGAUUCAUUUCAUUCCUUUCAUACCUGUGAGGAAGGAGUUAGUACUAAUAUCAAUGACAUCUGGUUUAAUUGAAAUAUUUUGUGUUUCAUAAAAUAUAGAAAGCCAGGUAGCCUGUGCUACUGUCUAUCCUGAUACUUACAACACUUAAGAAUUGUUCAACUUCAACUUUUUAGGAAAAUUAUGCUAAGUGUUUUACUUUAGGUAUUUUGUUUAUUUUAUUUUGAUGUGUGUGUGUGUGUGUGUGUGUGUAUGAAUGUAUGUAUAAGAGAGGGUGUAUGUGAGUGAGCCUGUGUGUGAGUGAGCAUGCUUGAGUAUGUGUUGUGUGUGUGUGUUAUCACUCCUCAUGUGCCAUCUGUCUUUUUUGUUUGUUUGACAUAGAGUCUCUCAUUGGUCUGGAACUGGCCAGUGGCCAAGUAGACCAGGCUGGCUGGCCAGUGAGCCUCAGGGAUCUGCCUGGUUCUACCUCCCCAGCUCUGAGAUUAUAAACCCACACCAGGAUGUCAGAUCCUCAUUCUUGCAGAACACUUUACUGACUAAGCUAACUUCUUAGCUCCCUGUGUGGUUUUGUUUUUGUUUUUGUUUUUGUUUUGUUUUGUCUUUUGAGACUUAGGAGCUUGGUGUUCUAUAAAGGAGAAAAUGCCAGUUUCCCCCUUCUCUUAGUAACUGAGUUUAGGUUAAUGAUUUAAGAUGCAUGUCACUGUAAUUAGCUUGUUUCUUUGAAGACAUCAUUGGUUACCAGUAAGUAGGUGACUGCUAUAGUACUCCUGGACAGUAGGGAGUGCUUUCUUCCAGAGGGUAUACAUUCUGAUUCAUGGUGAGGAAAUGUUUAUUUAUCUUAGUGUGUAUACAUAUAUGUGUGUGUGUGUGUGUUAUAUGUGUGCUGGUGCACUUCUCUCUCUGUGUGUGUGUGUGUGUGUGUGUGUGUGUGUGUGUGUGUGUGUGUGUGUGAGUGUGAGAGAGACCCAGCUUUAUGUGGGUGUUGAGAAUCUGAACUCAGGUCUUUCUGCUUUUAUAGCAAUCAUUGUACUGAACCAUGUCUCCACCCUGUUUCUUUACUGCACUGAAAUACUUUACUUGGUGCCUUGGAAUUGUUUAAAUUUAACAGAAGGCUAUACAAAGUGUUGAUUUUUCUCCUUAUACAAAUUACAUAAAUGCAUAUAAUCCCAGUGAUGUAAAUAUUUGUCAAGAAAUGUAAAAUGUGGACAGGAGCUACAUGUUGCCUAGUCAUAACCAAGCUUCUUGCAUUGGUGGAGACAGAACGAAUUGCAUAGACUUUGAGAAUUGAGCCUGCCAGGAACAAGACAGUUGGCCUCUGAUGGAGAAGCUGGCCUCUGAUGGAGAAGCUGGCCUCUGAUGGAGAAGCUUCUUACUGCCUGUGACUGACUUUCUUCUUCUUUGACCCCUCCCCUGAACCCGAAACUCCUCACAUUGAUCUUUAUGACCUUGCAUGUAGAAAUACUAGCUACCAGUGAAAAAGCCCAAGAGACACUAAUUGGAUAUCUUGACUGUCCUUGGUCUGUAUGCCCUGCCCUUAUGAAUCUAGUAUCUGCCACUGGCCUUUCUUUUCUACCUUCUAAAUACCUUUAAACUCCCUCUUUCAGGUCUAGCCUGUACCUUACUCUGUUGUCAGAUUUCCUGAGCCUCUGUAAAAGCCCCUCGCUUGGUUCUCUAUAUUUACUCUCCUUCCCUUCUCUCAUCUCGCUGCAUUCAGAGAAAUCUUCUUUUUGAUCCUCUGCUUUAAGUCCUUGAUGUUUUAUUGCCUCAGGCCGCUAAGCAACAGCAGCAGUGUCCCCUAUCCCACGUUUCCCCCUUGUGUCUCUGACGGUUUCAAUGAGAAACGACCCUCAUUGAAACCGUUUAGGACGUGCAGUCCUGCUGGGGGAAGUUUGUCACUGGGGGAAGCAUUUGAGAGCUUAAGGCUCCGUCCUACUUCAAGUUUGCUCUCAGCUUGGACUAGUGGUUGAGAUGAGAGAUGCUAGCUUCUUUUUUCCUGCCUCUGCUGCCAUGCCCUUCCAUAAUGGACUCUUAGCCCUUUGGAAAUGUAAGCCCAAAUAAACUCUUUCUUUUUU